AGCUUGGCCAGAUAGAAUGACCGUUAUGAUUCUGGUUUCAAUCCAGAGCAGAAUUUUCUUUACAUGUAGAAAAUCUAGAAAACUGCAUCUGGAUUGACAUCAUGGUCAGAAUAUACACUCAGAGCU
rnacentral:pre_miRNA from 1 species